rnacentral:lncRNA from 1 species
AACUCGGCCCUGGAAUUGGGAAGGGUGCAGGGAAGAGGAGGCGCAGAUGUGCGCUUGUCUCACACGAGCAGCCACAUUUAGCCACUGAGUCGGGACUGAAAUAUUCCUGAGGGAGAAGAACCCUGAGGCUUCAGGGCGGCAACGGCUCGGGCUCUCGUCAGUGGGGAGCUGGGAAGGGAUGUUGUCACCAUCUGCCUCGUGUCUGUCUGUGACUAAAAUAAUACUGGGGCCCUGCUUGGCACAUCCUAACUUCUCUGACUGCAUUUUGGGAUCACUACUGAGUCUGAACCUCAGCGCCCUUCGAGGGGCAGAGCCACAGGUUGGGAGUGGGUGCUGAGACUGGGAGAGAGACUUUUUUUUAUGGGGGGCAGCUACAGAGGCCGAUCUAGAGAUGUGCUCCUUCAGCUCUUCUCUCACUGAGCCUGCUUCCUGAUCAGAACAAUGGGCCUGUACCUGCGGACCUACCCACUAAGUAUCCUGUGAGCCGUCCUGCUCUGUGCUCUGAGAAACCGACAUGAAGGCCCAUGUACUGGUCUGCCUGGAGACUGAGGAAGAGUUAAGACUGAUUCAUUCUUCCUUGCCUGGACCAAGACUCUGACUUGUCUUCCUUCCUACACUCCUCCCGUUGGAGGGAUGUAUAUACUCAUAAAAGAGGGUGAGCUCACAGGUCAUCCAUCCAUCCCACUGCAUUCUGCACUGCAUUCUGGGUAGGUUUCUCCUAACCUCCAGCCCACAGUCAGAAACAGGAGCAAUGUCCCUCCUGACCAGCCCAUCUCUGACUUUAUUUUCUUCCUCUCUACAGUAUGGGUAUUCUGGGGUAGGAGGACCAAAUAUCCUUGCUGUCUGGUCCUUAGAGUUAAGUCUGUCCCUUCAGUGUUCCCCUGCACCCAUCUGUAGAGCUGUGUGGCCUGGGCAGCUGUCCGGCUGAGCCGGUUAGCAACACAAGACAGAUGGCAAGGGAUUAUCUCAGCUUCUCCCAGUGCCACCGUGGCAGAGGCAGUGGGUGAGGGGAGGACUCUCACACCCUCCCUCCCUGUGUACACAGAUAUUCUCUCACUUUGUCGUGCUCUCUCUCUCUCUCUCUCUUGCGAGCACACACACACACACACAGUCACACGCAGAGUCACACACACACACACACACACACACACACACACACACACACACACACACACACACACAGAGUUUCCUAUUCUCUAUCCACCACCAUCCUUGCUUUUUAUGAGGUGGGCAUGGAGGCAGGAAAAGGGAUGGGAUUAUGUGAGCUUGUGAGAACCGUGGGAUUUGGUGAUCUUGCUGCCCCGCUCUGCUUCCAGACUAUAGGCUGAACCAGCUGGGUCUCCCAGGCUCCUCUUGGACCAAUCCAUUGCCUCUAGGGUUUCUUUGCAACUGACUCCACUGAGAAUGGUAGGUUCAGGAGAACACAGUCUUAUAGAAGGCCCAGGGCCCAGAGAUGUGUUGAGAUGUGUCUAGAAUCACACAGCUGGUUGGGUCAUGAGGAGGUUGCGCUUUGGAGGGUAAGAAGGUAAUGGAAUCCCUUAGGUGUUUGAACACUGGUUCACAGGACUGAAAGCAAGGUGUACUUACCACAGUAGACGAAGACCCCAUAUCAUAUGUAUCACGGGGACAUGCAUACAGGGGCCACAGGAACAACCUUCGAAAAUGCUGUCAGGCUUUGGUGAAGUGGGGUCUCACUUGAGCUUGGGUGGAAUAGGGUACUACAAGAGUCAAUUCAUCCAUCUACACCCCAGGUCAAAUGGCUGAGGGUUUUUUCCUUCAGCCUUAGCCACAGACCCAAAUCUCUCACAGCAUUGACAACUCUCCAACCCCAGAGUUUUGAGUCAUCUUAGCCCCUGGCAGAAGGUUGUGGGUCCUAAAGAUGGGUGAAAUUUGGGGAAGGCACCCUGCCCCCCUUUCCUCAGCAUGGGUGGAAGGGCCAACUGCUGGAGUAAAGGGAGGGUGGGAAGGUCCUGAUGGGAAUUGAUUCACCAUGCUUAGCUGCCAAUAUCCCAGCUUCUCCCUCUCUCCACGAGUGGCUCAGGGUCGGCUGAACAGAGUCUGCACUGGAUGCAGAAGGAGUACAUUGAUCAAGACGCCCUGUUAGAGGUUCCAAAGGUGGUCCCUGGGCCCCAUGGAUUUAGUCACGUCUGCCUGACUGGCUUGUAGAGGGAAAUACGAUCUCCAGGUCAGACUGGCCUAAGGAUAAGCUAUAGAGCAACCCCACCCACCUCUGAAACGGUAGUAUUUGCAAGCUUGCAGUGUUCCUGUAGCAAACAAGAGGAUUACUCAUCGGGUCAGCCCCUUUAAUGACACUGGAUGGCUUUUAACAGCCUGUCAGAACCAAGCCCCGCUUCUCAACGCGUCUGUUCCUCCUCAGCCCCCAUUGGGAAGAGGAAGUGAGCAUAUUAAAGAAUGCUGGGUGCAA